UGCACUCAAUACUGUAAGUUGCUCUGGAUAAGAGCAUCUGCUAAAAAUGACUUAAA
rfam:Salmo salar isolate Sally breed double haploid chromosome ssa20, whole genome shotgun sequence.